AAUAGAUACCCUGGUAGUCCACGCCGUAAACGAUGGAUACUAGCUGUUUGAGCGCAAGUUUGAGUGGCUAAGCGAAAGUGAUAAGUAUCCCACCUGGGGAGUACGGGCGCAAGCCUGAAACUCAAAGGAAUUGACGGGGGCCCGCACAAGCGGUGGAGCAUGUGGUUUAAUUCGAUGAUACGCGAGGAACCUUACCAGGGCUUAAAUGUAGAUUGACGUAUUUGGGAACAGAUAUUUCUUCGGACAAUUUACAAGGUGCUGCAUGGUUGUCGUCAGCUCGUGCCGUGAGGUGUCAGGUUAAGUCCUAUAACGAGCGCAACCCCUGUUGUUAGUUGCCAGCGAGUAAUGUCGGGAACUCUAGCAAGACUGCCAGUGUAAACUGUGAGGAAGGUGGGGAUGACGUCAAAUCAUCACGGCCCUUACGUCCUGGGCCACACACGUGCUACAAUGGCCGGUACAGAGAGCAGCCACUUAGCGAUAAGGAGCGAAUCUAUAAAGCCGGUCACAGUUCGGAUCGGAGU
rnacentral:rRNA from 1 species